AAGUCGUAACAAGGUUUCCGUAGGUGAACCUGCGGAAGGAUCAUUAUUGAAUAUAACUUUGAAAUCUUAUGGGUUGACGGUUUUGUUGCUGGUGUACCUCACGGUACAUAUGUGCACGUUCUGUUAGCUUGUGAGUUUCAUAGUCUCCACCUGUGAACCUUUUGUAGACUUUGGAUACACUCUCAUCUCUUCUGAGAUGGAUUUUGAAGGGUUGCUCUAACAAGCUCCCUUUGUUUUCCAAGUCUAUGUUAUAUAAUCUCUUGUAUGUUUAGAAUGUCUUGUUUAUUGGACUCUGUCCUUUAAAAACUUAUACAACUUUCAACAACGGAUCUCUUGGCUCUC
rnacentral:misc_RNA from 1 species